CGUGACAAAAACAAAAAAGAAACAUCAGAGUCACAACAAUGCCAACCAGAAGGGGAGAAAAAAUCAGGCUUGCCAAGAAAUUCAAGAAAGGGAAUUGAACACAAAUGAAGCUCCAUUGGCUUCAAUAACUGACACUCAAUAUGAUCGCAUAAUUGGAACGCAGGAAACUGCUUUUAUUAAGGAUACGGGUUUCCACCUAUUUGAAUAGGCGAUUGAGCAUGAUGUUUUGUUUUUUUGAAAGCAUUGCUCUUUUUUUGUUCAGCUAAUGCUUUAGUACAUGUUACAAGAAUUUUUUGGAAGCAGUGAUGUUUUUUGGCUGAUGGUGGUGUAUAGUUUUUGCAAGUGUGGAAUGGUGGGUGCAUGGUUUUUGCAAGCGCUGAACAUGUGGAAUGGUCUACAGUAUGAAUUUUGGUUUUCGCUUGUGGAUUUCUGCUUACAUCAGCAACUGCUGCGAAAGUUAAACACUUCAUUUUGCUUACCUCAUUGGGAACAAACAAUGUUGGCUUUCCUGCUGCUAUUCUAAAUUUGUUUUGGGGGGUUCUGAUUUGGAAAAGGAAGGCAGAAGAAGCACUGCUAGCCAGUGGACUUCCCUACACUAUAGUGAGACCUGGAGGCAUGGAACGGCCCACUGAUGCUUACAAGGAAACCCAUAAUAUUGCCCUCUCACAAGAAGAUACUUUAUUUGGUGGCCAGGUGUCAAACCUUCAGGAUCCAGGUGCUGCAGCUGGGCCUGAUUUAGCACCAUCUAAGACUGUCAAAUCCAAGGAAGCAAGCCCUACCAUUGAGAAGGAGCAUUCCAGUGCAAAAGCGAUGGCGAGGCAACCCCUCUCUCCUUAUUUUGUAUGGUGCUUUAUGACACACCUGGUGUUAUUGAGAAGAAAAUGCACAAGUUGGACUCUAUGAUGAUGAGGAAUGUUCGAAGCGCAGCCGUCAAUGCAGACUGUGUACUUGUCCUUGUUGAUGCAUGUAAAGUGCCCCAAAAAAUUGAUGAAGUGUUGGAAGAAGGUGUAGGAAUCCUCAAAGAUAAGCCACCCACUUUGCUGGUUUUGAAUAAGAAAGACAUGAUCAAACGGGGUGAAAUUGCAAAGAAACUGGAGUGGUAUGAGAAAUUUACAGAUGUAGAUGAGGUUAUACCUAUGAGUGCAAAAUAUGGUCAUGGAGUGGAAGAUAUCAAGGACUGGAUACUAUCAAAACUUCCUGUUGGACCACCUUAUUAUC